rnacentral:rRNA from 1 species
AAGCUUAUUACGCCUAAAAUUAAAGGUAAAUAUCGAUUAUUCGAAUAAAGUUCUAGAUAGAAUACUGAUAAUGACAAUUUUCUAUCUAUUUGUCUUGACCAAAUUACGUGCCAGCAGUCGCGGUAAUACGUAGAAGACUAGUGUUAUUCAUCUUUAAUAGGUUUAAAGGGUACCUAGACGGUAUUAUUAGCCCAAGAAAGGGUACAAUAUAACUAGAGUUUUAUAGGAGAAGGAAGAAUUUAUGGAGGAGAGUUAAAAUUUGAUGAUUCCUUGAAGACUGGUAACGGCGAAAGCAACCUUCUAUCUAGUAACUGACGUUGAGGGACGAAGGCCUGGGUAGCAAACAGGAUUAGAUACCCUAGUAGUCCAGGCAGAGAAUUAUGAAUGUCAUUGGCUAGAUUAAUUUAGCCUCUAAAUGAAAGUGUAAGCAUUCCACCUUAAGAGUAAUGCGGCAACGCAGGAACUGAAAUCAUUAGACCGUUUCUGAAACCAGUAGUGAAGUAUGUUAUUUAAUUCGAUGCUCCGCGAAAAACCUUACCACAAUUUGAAUAAUCUUUUAUUCUUUAACGAAUAAAAGAAAUACAAGCGUUGCACGGCUGUCUUCAGUUAAUGUCGUGAGAUUUUGGUUAGUUCCAUAAAAUUAACGUAAACCCUUGCUUUAUUUUUAAAUAAUAUUUUAUAAAGUAGUUCGCCAUUAUAUUG